rnacentral:lncRNA from 1 species
CUCGUCGGGGCGGCGCCCGCGCCUGGGAGCCUCGGGAACAGUUCAGUUGUCUACAUUAACACUGCUGAUGUCAGCACUAAGGCAUCCUUGCUCUUUGUACCCAAGGGCUGUGAUGUCAGCCCACUGGGACCUCCCCUGAGCCUGGCGUCUUGGGCUUUGCUGGAGCUUAGGCACACAGGCGGCAUCCACGACUGAUCCCAGCUAUUCGGACUCCAGAGCCCCUCCCCAAAUACACCUCUACAGAGAUGUCAGAACGGCUGCGAUACAAAAAGCUGACAAUACGAAUUGCUGGCAAGGAUGCAGAGUAACACACUCCCGUUCGCUGUUGGGGAGGUAAACGGUGCACCCGUUUGACGGGCAGCCUGGCACUUCUUACAAAGGAAAAUGGAGAAAUUGUGGGACAUCCACACAAUGGAACAAUAUUCAGUGACAGAAAAGAAGAAGCCAUGAAGCCCCACAAAAAUGUGGAUGAGUUUAAACACAUAUUGCUAGCCGAAAGAAGUCAGUCUGAAACUCCCACAGUUCAUUUUUAUGAUAUUCUGGAAAGAUUAAGAAAUUGAAUCAGAAAGAGAUUGAGUGAUUUACCCAGAGGUAUACAACUAAUAAAUAAGAAUGCUGAGCUGUAACUGAGGAAGAUUAUAUCAAAGAUCCUGCAUCUCUAAACUCUUGUGGAAAAAUUGC